rnacentral:lncRNA from 1 species
CCGGAGGAAGCCAUGGGGUGUUUGGAGGUGAGAAUGAUGUGAGGUGUCACUGGGCAGGGGGAAGACACGUAAGAUGAGCGUGAAAAUGGCCUUCGUGUCAGGACUCUGGCUACAAGGAUCUGUGUGUGGAAAGAGAGGAGAGGAAAGGGGGCAGAGAGGAGAGGGAGAGAGGAGGAGCAAGAGGGAGAGAGGAGGAGAGAGAAGACAGGAGUUAGAAGAGAAAGAAAAUGUAGAGUGAGCCAGGGAGGUUCUGAAGGAGACCCCCAUCUGUGGGUCCCCUCAUCUCCACUCUGGCCCAGGAGGUCAGGGGAGUCCCAGGGCCCUGGCCUGGCCUGGCUCUUAUGAAAAGAAGGCAGGAGAAUGGGAACACAAGAGGAUGGAGGUCUGACUAGCUAAAUGAAUUCACCAGGAGGCAGGACUGACAGCCCCAGGAUGCCCUCAAGCAGAGAAGUCGUCAGAGAAGACAGAGAGCAGGUGAUAAUCGCCAGGCGGAUGAGAGUCGAAGGCACCCAGGCCAGGCUCUCCUUGGCUUCUCCAAACCCAGUCAGCUUCGGAGAAAACAGAAAGGUCUGAGUUUUCUGGUUGUUCACACUUAGAAACUAAAGCCAGAAAACUUGCAAACAUCUGGCUUGAGUAGCUCAGAACCCCCAGUGCUCAGCCCUGAUGAGAUUUAGUAAUGCUAUGGCUCCAUCUACAGCCCGAGAAGGAGCAUGUCACUAGGAUUCUCUGUGAGCAGCAGGGUCCAGGCUUGGAGCUAGCUGCACAAAGCUAACUACAAUUAAUGCUAAUUAAGCCUUUUCCUCUAUCUGCGCUGUUUAUUCAAUGCAGACUUGGAACUACCCUGGAAGUUAUUUAUUUCAGACUAUGUCUAAAACAGCAGCUGUUAGGAAUAUUCUAGAACGCUUUUAGCCAAAAUUGGUUUGGAAUCUCUAUUUUAAACCACUGUUUAUUAUGAAUUGAGUUAAGUGGGUC